GGGCCCGCACAAGCGGUGGAGCAUGUGGUUUAAUUCGAUGAUACGCGAGGAACCUUACCAGGGCUUAAAUGUAGUCUGACAGGGGUGGAAACACCCCCUCCUUCGGGCAGAUUACAAGGUGCUGCAUGGUUGUCGUCAGCUCGUGCCGUGAGGUGUCAGGUUAAGUCCUAUAACGAGCGCAACCCCUGCCGUUAGUUGCCAGCAUGUAAUGAUGGGAACUCUAACGGGACUGCCGGUGCAAACCGCGAGGAAGGUGGGGAUGACGUCAAAUCAUCACGGCCCUUACGUCCUGGCUACACACGUGCUACAAUGGCCGGUACAGAGGGCAGCCACACCGCAAGGUGGAGCGAA
rnacentral:rRNA from 1 species